GCGCUGCUAUCUGCAGUCGAGCGGACAGAAGGGAGCUUGCUCCCGGAUGUUAGCGGCGGACGGGUGAGUAACACGUGGGUAACCUGCCUGUAAGACUGGGAUAACUCCGGGAAACCGGAGCUAAUACCGGAUAGUUCCUUGAACCGCAUGGUUCAAGGAUGAAAGACGGUUUCGGCUGUCACUUACAGAUGGACCCGCGGCGCAUUAGCUAGUUGGUGAGGUAACGGCUCACCAAGGCGACGGUGCGUAGCCGACCUGAGAGGGUGAUCGGCCACACUGGGACUGAGACACGGCCCAGACUCCUACGGGAGGCAGCAGUAGGGAAUCUUCCGCAAUGGACGAAAGUCUGACGGAGCAACGCCGCGUGAGUGAUGAAGGUUUUCGGAUCGUAAAGCUCUGUUGUUAGGGAAGAACAAGUGCAAGAGUAACUGCUUGCACCUUGACGGUACCUAACCAGAAAGCCACGGCUAACUACGUGCCAGCAGCCGCGGUAAUACGUAGGUGGCAAGCGUUGUCCGGAAUUAUUGGGCGUAAAGGGCUCGCAGGCGGUUUCUUAAGUCUGAUGUGAAAGCCCCCGGCUCAACCGGGGAGGGUCAUUGGAAACUGGGAAACUUGAGUGCAGAAGAGGAGAGUGGAAUUCCACGUGUAGCGGUGAAAUGCGUAGAGAUGUGGAGGAACACCAGUGGCGAAGGCGACUCUCUGGUCUGUAACUGACGCUGAGGAGCGAAAGCGUGGGGAGCGAACAGGAUUAGAUACCCUGGUAGUCCACGCCGUAAACGAUGAGUGCUAAGUGUUAGGGGGUUUCCGCCCCUUAGUGCUGCAGCUAACGCAUUAAGCACUCCGCCUGGGG
rnacentral:rRNA from 1 species